rnacentral:rRNA from 1 species
CGCGUAGGCGGUUUGUUAAGUCCGAUGUUAAAGACUGGGGCUCAACCCCAGCACUGCGUUGGAUACUGGCAGACUGGAUGGUUGGAGAGGCGAGUGGAAUUACCAGUGUAGCGGUGGAAUGCGUAGAUACUGGUAGGAACACCCAUUGCGAAGGCAGCUCGCUGGACAACACGUGACGCUGAGGCGCGAAAGUGUGGGGAGCAAACC